rnacentral:miRNA from 1 species
CUGAGCUGAGGAGGACCUGUGA